UACAGAGGUCUCAAGCGUUGUUCGGAUUCAUUGGGCGUAAAGGGUGCGUAGGUGGCGCCGUAAGUCAGGUGUGAAAUUCGGAGCUUAACUCCGAAACUGCAUUUGAUACUGCGGUGCUUGAGGACUGGAGAGGAGACUGGAAUUUACGGUGUAGCAGUGAAAUGCGUAGAGAUCGUAAGGAAGACCAGUGGCGAAGGCGGGUCUCUGGACAGUUCCUGACACUGAGGCACGAAGGCCAGGGGAGCAAACGGGG
rnacentral:rRNA from 1 species